UUCAGUCGUGUAGCCACCCAAAUAUAAUCCCCACUCAUUUCCCGCCCCCAAAAUGCCAUACAUCUGGCUUUUAUGUGCUCGACUUUAAUCAAAAUGUUUCGCCAAAGCCUUAUCUCCGGCCAUUUAUUCAGCUGGCUAAACAAUAUAAAAUGCAGAAACAGUAAGAGCACCCGAAACAGGUCUCACCACCCAUCGGUUCCAUCAGUUUGGGGCUUUGUGGAGCUCCAUAGAGCUCCAUGGCCGCAAAGCCUCAUAAAUUUUUUGGCGCGCUUCGAAAUUGUCAGCCAGCCGUUUGCAUCGUUCUGUUGUAAUUUUAGAUACACAAGUUUAUUAUGCCACAAAAUAUAUGCGCCGCAUAUUUAUAAUAUUAAAUUGACUCGCCUCGGAGGCAUUGUGCCCCUUUUAUGAUAGCGAUAAUGUACGAGCUGGAGAAUAUGGCCGACCUCGUCGACUCUCCAGCCCCACCCCCUCCCUCGGAAAAGUGAAAUGUUGCCCCGAAAUUUGUUGCUCUGCAGCCGAAAGGCGUGAAAUUGUGCCUUGAUAUUUAUAUAUUUUGUUCUGGGGGCCGAGGCGAUAAAGAGUAAUAUAAUUAAAUAAUGAUGGACCAUAUCAUUCAGCUGCGUGGCUAAAGUCCGGGGAUGUAUGGUCUUUGUAAAUGGGGGAGAUUGUAAAAUAUUUAUUUUGUUAGCUAUCAAAUAGGGCCUCAAAAUAUAGAAAAUGGGAUUUCAUAUUUUUCUGGCAUCUCCCACACUCACAGUUUGGCUGUAGCAGUCCAGUGUGAAAUCCAAAAUCAAUCAAGUUUGACACAACUGUUAUCAAAAUCCCACCUAAAUCCCACCCAGAUUACCGCCACUCAACCCAAAUAGAGCCCAUGCACUUUACACAUAAUUACGGAGCACCACAGCCAGAAACCCAACUCAUGCUAAGCCAAACAGAACAGAACAGAGCUGAACAGAACAGACCAGAACUAAAAUGGAAUUGUAUUGGAGGGGCUGGCCGAACAACCUACACAACUAACAAGACUCCGACUCAAGUGUCAAACUUUUUGCAGACCAAUUUAGCCAAAUGAUUUAUUUAGGCCGGGCAGCAAGUGAAGGACUACGGCCAGGAGCAAACUUUGCUCUUGUUCCUGCAACUGUGAGCACAACUUCUUGGGCCAAAGGGCCGUGGCCUUAAAGCCUGGCCAACUCAACUGUCAAACUGUCAAUUUUGUGCUAACGAGCCUUAAAAACUUUGCCCUGCGAUUACGACACGCGACCAAGAAGGGUGGAUCCGGAAAGCUCCAUUUAUAUAUAUACGUGAAAUAUCAAUUUGAGCGAUAUGUGUUGCCUGCUUUCGGGCGUCCAAUGCGUCUAA